GCUAUAUGCACACUCACUUCCGCAUUCCAAGUCGGCCAGCCAGGUUACAUCCGGCGUCGACGGCGCACAUAGCGUCAAUAACAACUAUGGCAUUUUUCACUCGGUCCCUUCAAGAUGUCCCAAAGGUAACGGUCAACGACGUGAGUCGAAUCAUACAAAAGUUAUGUCACACUUCGACAACCAAGAAAGAGAAGGGCUUCAAAUUGUAUGUGUCAAGCUACAUCCACAAUUUUGAAGAUUGUGCUUGGGGAUGCCCGUCCUGUGCAGCUACAAAGCUGCCAGUGUACCUGUGUGGCAGGUACAGCUGUGUGUAAUCAUGUGGCAGCACUGUUGUACCAGACUGCACAUUAUUGCCAGCUUAGCAUCACCUCUGUUCCCCCAACACACAGCUGCACAGAGACUGAACAGAAGUGGCAUAAGCCAAGAUCCAUGGGUGUUAAACCUGGUCUCGUAAA